AUAUUCGAGACAGCGGACCCAAAUCGUAAAUUCAAUUUCACCUUUUCGUAAAGCGACAAAACGUAUAAAGUUAAUAAUAAUUCGAGACUACGGGACGAUCAAUGCAUAAUAUGUCAUUGGGGACGAUACGAUUUUGACAAUGAUAUAUAUCAUUGGAUUUUGAACUUGGCAAUUUCGUGUGAAACUUUCAAAAGUGGGCAAGCCCCUUCAAUAAUAUGGAAAGCCAAUUCUAAGCCCAAGAAAAUCAUGGAUAGGCUUAUGUUCUGCAAGUUAAAUGUAUUUGGAGAAUACGAAGUAUAUUUCCUUUUGUAUACUAGGAUAUCCAACAAGAAGUUAACCUUAAUUGUUUUUGUUUGAUGAAUUGAAAAAUUACAACAUUCAUGUCAAAAGUAAUAAAUGGCCUAAUUCGUUUUCCAUGUUAUGCAUUGGAUAAACAUAAAAUCAUAUUUAAAAUUAUCGAAAGUAGGACAGUUUAUAUUCAAUAUAAUUGCAUAAGAAUUAUUUGAAAAAAU